UCUCUCCAACCCAGCAAUGGGUCUAGAGUCGUUCAUUUAUCAGAGGUUUUUGUACUGCACCUAAGGACUGUCCUCGGUCAUCAUAAGUGCCCUGGCUGAAGAUAACCUUCUCGAGGAACGAGUGGACAGAUAAUCACAAAUGCCAGGCGUUGCCUCCCUCCCCAGUGUCGAUCCCGGGACAGUGCGUGUAUCUCUGCUGCAACACACAGGCCACCACACGUACCUCUGAAAAAGGGAGCAGCCUGAGCAGAGGGGGCUGGAGUGCUGGGCUCCCCUGCAUCCUGUCUCCCAAGGGCCGGCAGGAUACCCCGCUGGAAGCCCACUUCCGCCCUCUCCAUCCGCUCCCUCAGCAAACCCAUUGAGGAGGGAACAUUUUCCUGUCCUGGGGGAAGAGAGACCUUUGUCCUGCUCUCUGAGGGUGGAAGGGGAAGAUGCACUGUGACCGAACACUUUUAACUCCAGGUUUCCCUGCAGAUCUCCAUGCAGCCUCCUCUGACAUGACUCUGUUCAACAUGUUCACCUUGGAGGUGCAGCUGAAGCGCAGUACACAGAGCACCGCCACGAGGAUGUGUUGCAAACCGUACAUGGUCCCUGGGCACUACAAAUAGUGAGAGCUGAAGGCCAAGGGCACAGCACAUUCAGUUGUGUGUCCCCAGCCAUUACUAGCCCAUACUACUCGAAUGAGGCCCAAUAAAUAUUUGUGGAAGAAUAAGUGGGUGCAUGGAGAUGUUUCAGAGAGGGAGAAGAGAUGGGCGUCUCUGGGGAUGAGAGGAACCGGGACCCCGUGAAGUGUGGGAAAUGUUUGGAAUACCCACAAUGGGAAUCCAAGAGAUAAUAAACGAGUGAUGGAUGCAGUGAUUGCCAGGCUACUCAACAUCAUCAGCCAACAGGGAAAUGCAAAGCCACAGUGAGAUACCACUUCACAUAUACCAGAAUGGCAGUAGUCAAAAAGGCAUAUAAUACUGUGUUGGCAAAGGUGUGGAGAAAUUGGAACCCUCCCACGCUGCUGGUUGGAAUACAGAAGAGUGAAACGACUUGGAAAAAUAGUUUGGCACCUCCUCAAAAGGUUAAACAUAGAUUUCACAUAGGAUCCAACAACUCCACUCCUAGAUGUAUGCUCAAGAGGAAUGAAAACAUGUAGGCAUUCAUGAAUUGGUAUUAGUGCUCAGGGUGACAUCAUUCACAGAAGAUAGAAAGUGGAGACAACCCAAACGUCCGCCAACUGAUAAAUCAAUAGACAAAAUGUGGUGUAUUAAUACAAUGGGAUAUUAUUUUAUCAUAAAAAGGAAUAAAGUGCUAAUAUAUGCUACAACAUGGAUGAACCUUGGAAAUAUGUGGAAAAAAAGUCAUGAGAGACCACAAACCUUAUGGUCUCAUUUACAUGAAGUGUCCAGCAUAAGCAGAUCUAAAGAGAGAACAAAAAAUUAGAUCUGUGGCCUCCUGGGGCGGGGCGAGCUUGGAGAAAAAUGGAGAUUGGCUGCAAAGAG